GCGAAAAUACUAGUACCUGUCUUAAACCCUGUUUCCCCUCUGUUUACAUUCUUCAGUUGCUACUUCACCUCUCCCCUGUACACAUUCCAUAUUUAUCGCGGGCGAUUCUUCUUCUUUGUCCGGAAAUUGAAACCCUAAGAACUUUUCCCCUAAAUUAUUGUCGGAAAAUUCACACUUCCAAUUGAACUUGCUGCACAGCAAGAUGCUGCGGCCUCAUGAUAAUAUAGUCUUUACUAAGCAGCCUUAUAUCGAGGACAAUGAACCUCGCCGAAUUCAUAGCAUCACGUUUUCGAUGUUCUCGGCACCGGAAAUCAGUAAAAUAUCGGAAGUUGAAGUGUUUAAAGGUGUUUAUUAUGAUGCUCAAAAGAAGCCUAUUGUCAACGGUCUUUUGGACCCCAAAAUGGGGCCUCCGAACAAAAGCAGUGGUCUUUGCACAACGUGUUAUUCAAAAUACGAAGAUUGUCCGGGCCAUUAUGGAUGCUUGACUCUUUCACUGCCUGUUUUUAAUAUCGGCUAUAUUAGUGCCAUUCUAGAUGUUUUGAAGUGUAUUUGCAAGUCUUGCUCACAUAUCCUGCUACCAGAAAAAGAAUGUAAAGAGUUUUUGAAGAAGAUGAGAAAUAACAAGCUUGACUCGCUGCAAAAAACUGAACUGAGGAAAAAGAUUGUUAAGAAGUGUACCUCUAAACUGGAAGUGCAGUGCUUGAGAUGUGGGUACUUGAAUGGAAAGGUGAAGAAGGGCAAAACUGCAUUACAAAUUGUUCAUAAUCGUCCAAAGCAGGACAAAAACCAUGAAGAAAGUGGAGCAUCCUCUCCUUCUCUUAUAAAUCCACAUGACGCGUUGUUAUUGUUUAAGCAAAUGCUGGAUCAGGACUGUGAGCUACUCUAUCUAAAUAAUAGACCUGAAAAUCUUAUAAUUACCAACGUAUCUGUUCCUCCGAUGGCUCUUCGUCCUUCUGUUUUUGUGGAUGGAGGAAUUCAAAGCAAUGAAAAUGACAUUACUGAAAGGUUAAAAAGAAUUAUACAAGCAAAUGCUUGCCUUCACCAGGGUUUGCAAGAACCAAGUAGCUCAUAUAAAAUUUUGGAUGACUGGGAUUACCUUCAAGUUGAAGUGGCUCAAUACAUAAAUAGCGACGUACGUGUUGCUUUACAAGGACAACAACCUACCAAGCCAUUGAGUGGGUUUGUCCAACGUCUAAAAGGGAAACAAGGACGCUUCCGUGGGAAUCUGUCUGGGAAGCGUGUCGAGUUCACUGGAAGGACUGUAAUAUCACCUGAUCCUAAUCUGAAAAUCACAGAGGUUGCUGUUCCACUGCUAAUGGCUUCAAUCUUAACAUACCCUGAAUGUGUCAAUCAUCACAAUAUAGAAAAGUUGAGGCAGUGUGUACGCAAUGGGCCAAAGAAGUACCCGGGCGCAAAGUUUGUUAUAGAACCCAAUGGUGACAAGAAGGAUUUAUCAUUUUCUGGUAGGAAACGAAUUGCUGACGAAUUAAAGUUUGGGUACAUAGUUCAUCGUCACCUUGAAGAUGGAGAUGUUGUUCUUUUUAACAGGCAACCAAGUUUGCACCGGAUGUCUAUUAUGUCCCACAGGGCUAGAAUCAUGCCAUGGAGGACUUUGAGAUUCAAUGAAUCUGUUUGCAAUCCAUACAAUGCUGAUUUUGAUGGCGAUGAGAUGAAUAUGCAUGUUCCACAGACGGAGGAAGCUAGAGCAGAGGCUUUAUUGUUGAUGGGGGUUCAAAACAACCUAUGUACGCCGAAAAAUGGAGCUAUAUUGGUCGCUUCCACCCAGGACUUUUUGACAUCUUCUUUUUUGAUUACCAGAAAGGAUACAUUCUAUGAUCGUGCAACAUUUUCUCUAAUGUGUUCUUAUAUGGGAGAUGGAAUGGAAAUGAUUGACUUGCCAACACCAACAUUGGUUAAGCCAAUUGAGCUCUGGACGGGUAAACAAUUAUUUAAUGUUCUAUUACGUCCGAAUGCACAACUGAAGGUCUUUGUAAAUCUUAUGGUGAGAGAGAAGAUAUAUUGCAAACCUGAAGACAGGGAAACUACUUGCAGGGAGGAAACCAUGUGUCCUAAUGAUGGUUUUGUUUACUUCCGCAAUAGUGAAUUAAUGUCUGGGCAACUUGGAAAAGCUACCUUAGGGAAUGGCAAUAAAGUUGGGCUUUUCUCUGUCCUUGUUCGAGACUAUAAUGCACAUGCUGCUGCUGCUUGCAUGAAUCGAUUGGCAAAAUUGAGUGCCAGGUGGAUUGGUAAUCAUGGGUUUUCAAUUGGCAUUGAUGAUGUCCAACCUGGGAAAUUUUUAAAUGAACAGAAACAAUUCAAUAUAUCCGCAGGCUAUAAAGUGUGUGAUGGGCUAAUACAAUCCUACAAUGAGGGGAAUCUGACUCUCAUGCCAGGCUGUGAUGCAGCGCAAACUCUAGAGGCAGAAAUAACAAAAAAUUUAAAUGAAAUUCGUGAAAUAGCUGGAAAGAUUUGUAUGAAAGAGCUUCACUGGAGGAAUAGCCCAUUGAUAAUGUCACAAUGUGGCUCAAAAGGUUCCCCAAUCAAUAUUAGCCAAAUGGUUGCAUGUGUUGGUCAACAAGCAGUUGGGGGGCGUAGAGCACCAGAUGGCUUCAUCGAACGCAGUCUACCACAUUUUCCUAGAAAAUCAAAGACCCCAGCAGCUAAGGGUUUUGUGGCUAAUUCAUUUUACACAGGCUUGACAGCUACAGAAUUUUUUUUCCAUACUAUGGGUGGGCGAGAAGGCCUAGUCGAUACAGCUGUGAAAACUGCUGACACUGGUUAUAUGUCACGUAGACUGAUGAAAUGCUUGGAGGACCUAGCUGUUUAUUAUGACAUGACUGUGAGAAAUUCUAAUGGAACUAUUAUUCAGUUUUUUUAUGGUGAUGAUGGCAUGGAUCCAGCACAAAUGGAAGGGCAAGAAGGAUUUCCGCUGGAUUUUGAGAGGUUGCGUUUCAAAGUUGAGGCUACUUGUCCUGCAGGGAGAAAUAUGAAACUAUCUCCUGAUGAGAUCUCUGAAACUAUUAAUAGGAGGCUUUCAGAUUAUGAUGUGAGUACUGGUGGUGGUUGUUCUGAUGCCUUCAAGAAGAAGAUGUUUGAUUUUUUCGAUAAAUUAGCUGGAAGGAAAUGCUAUGUUUCUGAGCAGCAGCUGCAGGUGUUCUUGGAUGCUUGCAUUACUCGGCUUCGUUCAAAAAGGAUCGAAGCUGGAACAGCUAUUGGGGCAAUUGGAGCUCAGAGUAUUGGGGAGCCCGGGACGCAAAUGACGCUGAAGACGUUCCACUUUGCUGGGGUUGCCAGCAUGAAUGUUACCCUUGGAGUUCCUCGUAUUAAAGAAAUCAUUAAUGCAAGCAAAAAGAUAAGUACACCAAUUAUCAUGGCAAAACUUGUGGAUGAUAAGAGUAUGGAACUAGCUCAAACUGUAAAAGCUCAAAUUGAAAAGACAUUGUUGGGCCAGGUUGUGAAGAGUAUAAAGCUUGUAAUGACUUCAAUUAGAGCUUCAAUAGUUGUUAAACUUGACAUGGAAAAGAUUAAUGCUUUGCGUCUGUGUAUAAAUGCUCAUACCGUCAAGGAUAAAAUUGAAAAAACUUUGGCGAAGCGCAAGAAUGACAAGCUGAAUGUUAAAGUACUUGAUGAUGUGAAGCUGGCUGUCCUGCCAGAUGCUGAUAAACUUGAUGCUCAUUUUUUACUACACAGACUUAAGAAUAAGCUUCCUACAGUUGUCGUAAAGGGAAUUGAUAGCAUUGAACGAGCCAUUAUUGCUGAAGAGGAAAAGAAUAAGGGGAAGCUCAACUUGAUUGUUGAAGGGACGGGGCUUAGGGAAGUCAUGGGGAUUUUAGGAAUCAAUGGAUACAAGACAGAGAGCAAUCAUAUAGUUGAAGUGCAACAAACUCUUGGCAUAGAAGCAGCAAGGAGCUGUAUCAUCAGAGAGAUAAAUAAGGUCAUGCAAAGUCAUUCCAUGGAUGUAGACAUACGCCAUAUGAUGCUUCUUGCUGAUGUGAUGACAUUUAAGGGGGAGGUUCUGGCAGUUACCAGAGUUGGAAUUGCGAAGAUGAAAGAAAGUAUAUUGAUGUUGGCAUCUUUUGAGAAAACAGCUGAUCAUCUUUUUAAUGGUUCUGUAAAUGGAAGGGAGGAAAUGAUUGAAGGAGUUAGUGAAUGCAUUAUUAUGGGCGUACCAAUGCAAAUUGGCACGGGAAUAUUGAAGAUAAGGCAGAGGCCAAUGAAUUGUCCCCUUUGCAAUCUCUUCUGGUACCAGGUCCAUACCUUCUUGUUGGGCUGACCCUCAGCUUAUCCUCCACCUUGAUGGCCAGAUCCAUUGCUCGAAAGUGUAAGAAUUGAUUCAUUGCCAGCAUUCAAAUAUGAAUCCGAUCCGAUUGUAGUUUGAACAGAUUAAGCUAAAGGCAAUCAAGCUUUUGGAGGUCACUGAUUAAGGGCUAUUAUUUUCUCCAUUACUCCUGGAAACCAUAACUGUGACAUAUUCCCGCCAGGGAACAGUGUAUUAUAAAGACCCUGAUGAUGGAAGUUGCUGAAGCAAUCAUUCUCUGAGGAGAGCUCGAAUAUGUCACCAUGACGAAUGGUUUCGUGAAACGAAUCCUAUUGGAAAACAGGGUCCGCGUUGAGCACGUGCGACAUAGGCAACCAUACACGAUCACCAAAAUUAGGCGCCAAUUGUAUAAAACAAUUUUCAUCGUUGUGUUGGACUUAUAUAUUACUAGUCUUAUAUGCAUACUAUCGUGCAAAAUUAUUAUUGAAGUUAAAAAUUUAAAUACAACUCACUAAAGUAAGUCUGUCCAACUCUCUUGGUAUAACUAUCAAGUAUUAUAUUAAUGAUUAUUUCAAAUUGAAUAUAUUUAUUCUAUUUGACGCAA